AACCACCAGAUACCAUGAAAGUCAUGUCCUGAAAUACAAGAGGUACUUGCUCGAAAAUCAGUGGAUUUCCUCUUGAUCCAAGAAACAAAAAAGGCAGCUUUAUCGUGGAUUUUAGUGAACUCCAUAUGGUGGGAUUCAAAUUUCAAAUUUGUUGAAGCUGAUGCUAAUGGAAGUUCAGGUGGACUACUUUGUAUAUGGAGCCCGGAGGUUUUCACCAUGAUGGACACUUGCUGUAUUAGAAGUUUUAUCUUGGAGCAAUCCUACAAAUGUUUAGGGCCCCAGUGAUGUAGUAGGCCGAAGGCAUGCGUGGGGACUGGGGAGUGCCAUCAAGCCUCAAAGGACAUUACCCGAAACCAUAAUGGUUUGGGAGGGGACCUUAGUCAAAUCAGAAACACAGGGGAAAGGGCAGGGGUGCUUUCGUAGGGAAACAGGAAUGAGAGAUCUUAAUCAAUAUAGAGCUGAUUAAUCUUCCAAUGCUUGGGAGAAAAUUCACUGCGUCCAAUUCUCAAGAUGGGGAGAAGUGGAGCAGGAUAGAUCGCUUUUUACUCCACCCAAAAUGGUUGGAUUAGUUCAAACUUAAACAGUGGGAGCUGCCUAGAACUCUUACUGAUCAUUGCCUAUUCUACUUAUCGACGAUGAAAGAUUGGGGUCCUAGGCCUUUCUGGCUCAUUACUUCUUGUUGUAUGCAUCCUAAGUGUGUUGAAGUUAUGGAAAAGGCUUGGAAUGACACAGUUGUUCGAGGUUGGGCUGGAUCAAGCUUAUCAGCAAACUGAAAGGUAUGAAAGAGACUCUCAAAGUACGGAGCAGAGAAGUAUUUGGGGAUGUGCAACACAAGUUAAAUAAAAGUGGAAGAAUUAGUAUACCGUCUAGAUAUGCAAGCCGAGAGUGCUUUACUUCAAGAUAUAUAUAGAUAGAAGCAAGAGGGAAGAGCUAAGGUCUGAUUUACAGAAACUCAACCGAAUGGUUACCGGUGAUGUCCAGUCUGCAUUUGUGGGUUGGAGAAAUAUACAAGAUGUUAUAUUGAUUGCAAAAGAAGUGGCCUAUGGAUGGAAAAUGGGUAGAAAAAAGGUUUAAUAAAGAAGUUAGACUUUGAAAACGCCGAUGACAAAGCUUAAUUGGAACUUCAUGCUCAGCAUGACGCAAAUGAUUGGUUUCCCAAAGAAAUUGAUGUCAUGGAUUAAAGUGUGUGUCUCAAACGGCUUCUCUAUACAAAGUUGUGAAUGGUUCCCCUACCGAAGAAUUUAAGAUGCAGAAAGGUUGGCAAGGAGACCCGUCGUCUCCCUUCUUGUUUGUUAUUGCUGUUGAAGGUCUAAACUGGCUCUCUCAAAAGGCAAAGUAACAAGCUUUAAUAAAAGAUAUGCAGGUUGGAGUGGAUAAGCUUUGUGUUACUCAUUUGCAGUUUGCUGAUG